CUGUGCUACCCGCCCUCUUUUCAUCCUCCAGUCACUGUUCCUCUCAUCUUACCUGCAGUCAAGCUGAAGACGUGAACCUCGAAUCAGUAAGAGCACAGUUACCUUCAGAGGAGUGGCAGCACACACACACCGAGAGCAGGAGGAGAGUGAUGGAGAGGAUCUUCACAGUCAUUUUCACCGGCGGUCUGGCUCACUGAUCAGGUUGAAACUAUACGCUGACCAAUGCUUGGUUAUUUAUUGUUACAAACUAAACAUGCGGCCCCCUCAUCCACAUGGCUGAAAAAAGCAACAUGGAGGCAGAAAAAACCUUUAAUACUGGUUUCCAGUUUCCAGGAGA